rnacentral:rRNA from 1 species
CCGAGUGGUGUGGAUGUUUAUUGGGCCUAAAGCAUCCGUAGCUGGCUAAGUUAGUCCCUUGUUAAAUCCACCGAAUUAAUCGUUGGAUUGCGGGGGAUACUGCUUGGCUAGGGGACGAGAGAGGCAGACGGUAUUUUCGGGGUAGGGGUGAAAUCCUAUAAUCCCGGGAAGACCACCAGUGGCGAAGGCUGUCUGCUAGAACGCGCCCGACGGUGAGGGAUGAAAGCUGGGGGAGCGAACCGGAUUAGAUACCCGGGUAGUCCCAGCUGUAAACGAUGCAGGCUAGGUGUUUGGACGGCCACGUGCCGUUCUAGUGCCGCAGGGAAGCUGUUAAGCCUGCCGCCUGGGGAGUACGAUCGCAAGAUUGAAACUUAAAGGAAUUGGCGGGGGAGCACGGGGCGGGGGCGGCGGGCCGGGCGCGGGGCGCGGCGGGC